AUGAAAGGUAAGAAUAAUGGUGUUCAAAGGAAACUUUUGGAUAAAAAUCCUAGAGCUUUUUAUUCAGCAUGUGGUUGUCAUAGUAUUAAUUUGACACUUUGUGACAUGGCAAAAACUUGUGGUAAAACAAAGGACUUUUUUGGAAUCAUACAACGCAUCUACACAACAUUUGCUAAUUCAACUAAAAAGUGGCAGAUCUUGAAAGAUAAUAUAGAUGAUACAACAGGAUUGACUCUCAAGUCGUUGUCAUCUACUCGUUGGGAGAGUCGAAUAGAUAGUGUUAAAGCUAUAAGAUUUCAGAUUUCGAACAUACGAGAAGCUUUACUGCAAGUAUCUGAUAUUGAUAAUGAUCCAAAAACUAGCAGUGAAGCUAAAUCUCUCGCGAAUAAUGAACUUGGUGAUUUUGAAUUUUUAGUAGCUAUUGUUAUUUGGUAUGAAAUACUGUAUGCCGUCAAUCUGGUCAGCAAGAACUUACAAUCAAAGGAUAUGCUUAUUGAUGUUGCUAUUGAGCAAGUGUAG
rnacentral:rRNA from 1 species